AUACGGAAGGUCCGGGCGUUAUCCGGAUUUAUUGGGUUUAAAGGGAGCGCAGGCGGAGAUGCAAGCGUGACGUCAAAUUUCGGGGCUCAACCCCGUCUCGCGUCGCGAACUGCGUCCCUUGGUUGCGGGAAGGGGAGGCGGAACUCGUGGUGUAGCGGGGAAAUGCAUAGAUAUCACGAAGAACUCCGAUCGCGAAGGCAGCCUUCCGGCCCGUCAACGACGCUCAUGCUCGAAGGUGCGGGUAUCAAACAGGAUUAGAUACCCUGGUAGUCCGCACAGUAAACGAUGGACACCCGCGGUUUGGCCUGUAUGGCUGAGCCGCCAAGCGAAAGCGUUAAGUGUACCACCUGGGGAGUACGCCGGCAACGGUGAAACUCAAAGGAAUUGACGGGG
rnacentral:rRNA from 1 species